CAGCGGCGGACGGGUGAGUAAUGCCUAGGAAUCUGCCUGGUAGUGGGGGACAACGUUUCGAAAGGAACGCUAAUACCGCAUACGUCCUACGGGAGAAAGCAGGGGACCUUCGGGCCUUGCGCUAUCAGAUGAGCCUAGGUCGGAUUAGCUAGUUGGUGGGGUAAUGGCUCACCAAGGCGACGAUCCGUAACUGGUCUGAGAGGAUGAUCAGUCACACUGGAACUGAGACACGGUCCAGACUCCUACGGGAGGCAGCAGUGGGGAAUAUUGGACAAUGGGCGAAAGCCUGAUCCAGCCAUGCCGCGUGUGUGAAGAAGGUCUUCGGAUUGUAAAGCACUUUAAGUUGGGAGGAAGGGCAGUAAGCUAAUACCUUGCUGUUUUGACGUUACCGACAGAAUAAGCACCGGCUAACUCUGUGCCAGCAGCCGCGGUAAUACAGAGGGUGCAAGCGUUAAUCGGAAUUACUGGGCGUAAAGCGCGCGUAGGUGGUUUGUUAAGUUGGAUGUGAAAGCCCCGGGCUCAACCUGGGAACUGCAUCCAAAACUGGCAAGCUAGAGUACGGUAGAGGGUGGUGGAAUUUCCUGUGUAGCGGUGAAAUGCGUAGAUAUAGGAAGGAACACCAGUGGCGAAGGCGACCACCUGGACUGAUACUGACACUGAGGUGCGAAAGCGUGGGGAGCAAACAGGAUUA
rnacentral:rRNA from 1 species